GCCAGCAUGGUGUUGUGGUUUGAGCAUUGGUCUACAAUUCUGGAGACCAGGGUUCAAAUCCCUGUUUGGUCA